rfam:Myotis davidii contig171196, whole genome shotgun sequence.
UGUUGUUGCCAUGGUAAUCCUGCUCAGUACGAGAGGAACCGCAGGUUCAGACAUUUGGUGUAUGUGCUUGGCUGAGGAGCCAAUGGGGCGAAGCUACCAUCUGUGGGAUUAUGACUGAACGCCUCUAAGUCAGAAUCCCGCCCAGGCGGAACGAUACGGCAGCGCCGCGGGAGCCUCGGUUGGCCUCGGAUAGCCGGUCCCCCGCUCGUCCCCGCCGGCGGGCCGUCGUCGCGCCCCCCGCGGACGCGGCGCGCCCCCGCCGCGCGUCGGGACCGGGGUCCGGUGCGGAGAGCCCGUCGUCCUGGGAAACGGGGUGCGGCCGGAAAGGGGGCCGCCCCCACGCCCUUCACGCAACGCACGUUCGUGGGGAACCUGGCGCUAAACCAUUCGUAGACGACCUGCUUCUGGGUCGGGUUUUCGUAUGUAGCAGAGCAGCUCCCUCACUGAGAUCUAUUGAAAGUCAGCCCUCGACACAAGGGUUU